rnacentral:rRNA from 1 species
AUUGAACGCUGGCGGCAGGCCUAACACAUGCAAGUCGAGCGAGCGGCGGACGGGAGAGUAAUGUCUGGGAAACUGCCUGAUGGAGGGGGAUAACUACUGGAAACGGUAGCUAAUACCGCAUACCAUCAGAUGUGCCCAGAUGGGAUUAGCCAGUGGGUGGGGUGACGGCUCACCUAGGCGACGAUCCCUAGCUGGUCUGAGAGGAUGACCAGCCACACUGGAACUGAGAUGCGGUACAGCCUCCUGCGGGAGGCGGCAGUAGGGAAUAUGGCACGAUAGGCGCAAGCCUGAUACAGCAAUUGCGCGUGUGUGAAGAAAGCCUUCGGGUAGUAAAGCACUUUCGGCAGAGGGGCAUUACCCGCAUAUGAUGCACCGGCUAACUCCAUGCCAGCAGCCGCGGUAAUUC